CCUACGGGAGGCUGCAGUGGGGAAUAUUGCGCAAUGGGCGAAAGCCUGACGCAGCGACGCCGCGUGAGGGAUGAAGGUCUUCGGAUCGUAAACCUCUGUCAGCAGGGAAGAACGGUCACGGGGCUAAGCAGCAGUGAAUGGACGGUACCGGCAAAGGAAGCACCGGCUAACUCCGUGCCAGCAGCCGCGGUAAUACGGAGGGUGCGAGCGUUAAUCGGAAUUACUGGGAGUAAAGCGCUCGUAGGCGGUAUGUCAAGUCAAGGGUGAAAUCCCCGCGCUCAACGUGGGAACUGCCUUUGAAACUUGCAAACUGGAGUGUGUGAGAGGAUAGUGGAAUUCCAGGUGU
rnacentral:rRNA from 1 species